UCUUCGGGAUAGGUAGUAGUUAAGGUGAUGGCUUAACUAGCCAAAAACUCUCGUAGUCGAAGCUGAAAGGUUGAUCGACCACAUUGGGUCUGAAAAAACCCCAAUGCAAGUUAGUACAGCAGUGAGGAAUCUUGGUCAAUGGCCUAACGGCUGAACUGGCAACUUGGAGAAGUGGCAAGUCUUAUUUUGAUUAUAUUACAAUAUAUAAUCUAUAAGAUUGUAUUAAAAUUGAAUAAAGCUUUGUUUAUAUAUUGAUAAUGACAGUAUAUAUAUCGUGUCUUGACUAAUUACGUGCCAGCAGUCGCGGUAAUACGUAAGAGACUAGUGUUAUUCAUCUUGAUUAGGUUUAAAGGGUACCUAGACGGUCAAUAUAUCUUCUAAAAUGUUAGUACUUGACUAGAGUUUGAUAUAAGAGGGCAGUACUUGAGGAGGAGAGAUGAAAUUCUAUUAUACCAAAGGGACUCGGUAAAGGCGAAGGCAGCCCUCUAUGUAAAAACUGACGUUGAAGGACGAAGGCACAGAGCACAAACAGGAUUAGAUACCCAAGUAGUCUUUGCAGUAAAUGAUGAAUGCCAUAGGUUAGAUUAA
rnacentral:rRNA from 1 species